rnacentral:rRNA from 1 species
AGCAGCCGCGGUAAUUCCAGCUCCAAUAGCGUAUAUUAAAGUUGUUGCAGUUAAAAAGCUCGUAGUUGAAUUUCGGGAUCAAGGAAUCGGUCAUGCCUUGGUAUGUACUGGUUUUAUUGGUUCUCACCUUCUAAAGAACCAUAAUGUCAUUUAUUUGAUGGUAUGGGGAAUUAGGACUGUUACCUUGAAAAAAUUAGGGUGUUUAAAGCAAGCUUACGCUUGAAUACAUUAGCAUGGAAUAAUGAAAUAGGACAUCAGAUUCUAUUUUGUUGGUUUCUAGGAUCGAUGUAAUGAUUAAUAGGGAUAGUUGGGGGCAUUAGUAUUCAAUUGUCAGAGGUGAAAUUCUUGGAUUUAUUGAAGACUAACUACUGCGAAAGCAUUUGCCAAGGAUGUUUUCAUUAAUCAAGAACGAAAGUUAGGGGAUCGAAGACGAAUCAGAUACCGUCGUAGUCUUAACCAUAAACUAUGCCGACUAGGGAUCGGAUGAUGUUAAUUUUAUAAUGACUCAUUCGGCUACCG